rnacentral:rRNA from 1 species
AUGCUGAAGAGAAUACAUUACAAAAUCCAAAAUGAUGACUACACUUGUCUACUCUGUCACAACCCUCCGGAGGAAGACAUCAUGCACCUCUUCUUUACCUGCCCCUUUAGCCAGAGAUGUUGGAAUGCCCUUGGAAUCCAAUGGCCGAAUGAUAUAUGCAGGUUGAGAAUGUUGCAUGAUGCCAAAGCUAGAUGGGCUCGGCCAAUGUUCCUGGAAGUCUUUGCGGUGGCAGCGUGGGGGAUCUGGAAGGAGAGAAAUGAUAAGCACUUCAGAGGGAUCUAGCCCUCGUUUGAUUCUUGGAAGAACAAAUUCAAGCUGGACUUUGCCAUGCUAGCUCAUAGAUCGAAGCAGGAGCAUGGCCCUUACAUUUUAUCCCUAGCUAGCUCUUUGUAA